UCUCAUUUAAUGCCUACCACAAAACUGC
rnacentral:sRNA from 1 species